ACACACACAGACGCACGCGCGAGCGCGCAAGAUGCAUAUCUUCCCUUCCCAACGUUGAUUUUUAAAGCCUUGAUUAAUCCCAGCACAUCUACGGUCGGGAUAAAUUUGGCAAGAAGUCAUCCCAGGCGGCUAGCCCUUCCAUAUUUAGUGUCACCUGCCUCUGAACGCCUUCAACUUUCUCCCCUUGUACAGGCCCUUUCAUCCAUUCCCCCAACCAAACAACUGUGCUCUAUGAUCCCUUGCAAAACACAGACAUGGUAGUAACUCGCCGGUUAUGGGCGGGCCGGGUUAACGGCGCUCACCUGCUCCAUCACGUGUCCCGGUGUGCUUAUUGAAGACUCACGCAUUCCGAAAGAGUGGCAAACCGAAUUAGUAAACAGACAUCCCUCCCUCCUUCACCCUCUUUGUCUCCCUGGUAAGCCUAAUACGGUGAAUUAGUGUUGGUAAUCUUCCCACCCACAACUCUUACACACACACACAAAAAAAAACGGGUAGAAAAACGUGACCGAUACCACCUGCGCUUGCAAAAACACCUUUCUUCGAGGUUUCAAAAAUAAAGAUACGUGGCAACUCUAGAGGGAAGGGAGGUGGUGGUGGUGGUGAGUCAGAGGUAUUUGUGAAAGGUCCAACCUAGCUCGCUGAGGUAAAGUUUGUGUAUAUAUAUCUAUAUCAAUAUCUAUAUCUACUUAGAACGCUUAUGGUCUCUCCCUUAUCCCCCUAUCUAUGACAAACCAACCUCACUGUUAAUUACAGAUAGCAACGUGUAUGUGCAACUAUCACACACACACACACACACACACACACACUAGCGAAUGAUCUCUAUAUAUAACAUUGUGUACACUCAAUAAUUUAAAAUAGCUCAAACACAUCCCUCAGUUGAACUUUAUUCUAAAUCUGUAAUAUAUUCUCUCUCUCUCUCUCUCUCUCUCUCUCUCUCUCUCUCUCUCUCUCAUAAUCCCCUUCCCGUCUCGCACAGCAGCUGACAAAUACCACACACGCUGUAUCUGUUACACCGCCUCCACCUUCUUUUCCCGGUUUCUCUCCCACUUUUCCUUCUUUUAUGCAUCACUGAUCUGACAGUCACUUAUUUUCGAGGUUACACGCCAGUCACACACACACACACACACACGCACGCACACAUUCUCUCUCUCCCUUUAUCUCUCUCUUGCCACAUCACCCAGCCAGAGAUAACAACCACACUUCCACUUUUAUCUCUCCUCCGUUCUUAACCCAUCGUCACAUCACCUAAAAAUGAGGAAGGGGCGAGGAGCGAGACGCGUGGCAAAGCUGAGGCGUGACGAACACCGGACAAAAUAAAGAAUGCAAGAAAACAGAAGCUCACAAGUAAUACACAACGGAUGAGGCUAAUUCGGUAUGCACAAAAAAGAGAAUGUGAAAGCCUAGGAGCAGAAAAGGAAAAAAAAAUGGAGGGACGUGAGACCAAGUUGGCGUGACGAAAAUCAGACAAAAUAUAAAGAAUGCCAGAAAACAGGAGCUCUUUAAAUUAAGUAAUACUACACAAUGGAAGAGGCUAACUUGGCACGGAAAAAAAAAAGGACGGGAAGAAUGUGAAAGCUUAUGCGUAGAAGAGGAAAGGGAGGAUAGACUUGAGGAAUAAAUAUUGUGGAUAGGAGAGGGAAAGGGGGAUAGAGUAAGACUUGAAUAUGUAUUGUGGAUAGGAGGGAAAAAAAAGGAGAGAUGGAAACGAAUAUAUAUUGAAGGCAGGAGAGGAGAGAGGAUAGAGGUAGACUUGAAGAAUGGGGAUAGGAGAGGAAAAGUGGGAGGAGAGGAAAAGUGGGACGAGAGAGGGGACUUGAGGAAAAUAUUUUGUGGGUAGGAGGGAAAAAAAUAUAGGGAGGACAGAAGACUUGGGAAAUAUGUAUAGUGGGUAGGAGAGGAAAGAAAGAGGAUAGAAGGGGAUUUGGGGGUUAUCUCAGAGCACGUAGGAGAGACUGGAGGGAGUCUGGAUGCAUGAAUGUGAGUGAGUCAGCACAGGGCAAGGCAUCAGGGACUCCGUGACGUCACCACACAACCACCGCCUCGUCCACGUCUCUCUUGCCUUCUUUGGCCAACCAGACCACUGAUCCUUCAACCCACAAGACCCUUUCCCCCUACGGUACCAUCCAGUCCUUUCUCCCAGCCUCCUUUCAUUCAAUAAGGAGUAAAAGUAAAUUAAUAUUCUUCCCUCUGGCUAUUUGGUUUGUCGUCAGUUCAGUUUUCUUUCCCGCCGCUCAAGUAAACAUCAACAAAUACUGGAUCUGUGCCAUGAUAUAUGAUGUGAGGGUAACAUCAACACACACACACACUAAAUUAAAUGACAAAAUAAGGGAACAUUACGAACUUGACUCAUUGUAAAAAUAGAAACGGGUAAAGCUACUAAGAAAACAUAUAUGUACAAAACAUCAAACAACCCGAAGGCAACCAGCCACGUCUGACGCCCUCCUGUCUGCUGUGAAUACGCCCCUUCAACUCUACUCAAGUCAGCCUCGCGGGGAGUUCAAUAAUAUAAACCAGACGUGUGGGUAUUGUGUUUAUCCCUCUCACCGAUAGCGGGUGACAUUCACCAACACAAUCCAUCCCUCUCGCACGGCAGGCCAGUGAAGGUGACAACCCACACGCGCUGGUGACCCUGCCGUACCUAUUGCCUCUCCCCUGCCCACACACACCACGAUCCACCGUCUGUCUGUCUUCUCAGUUCAUUUUACUGAACACAACAACAUGACGUAAGGAGUGGUGAGCAUUCCUCCUUGCAUCAACUGCCCUAAAGGAAGACAACCUCAUACCUGAGAAGAAUACUAAAGAUGCUGGCUUGGCUGGCCUUUCAUGAUUAAUAUACUACAACUUACAGGGAAAAUGUGUGUGUGUGUGUGUGUGUGUGUGUGUGUGUGUGUGUGUGCUCAAGGAAGUAUCAUGACAAUUCAUUUCACUCAACCUGACAAUAAGAAGUAGAAUAAAGCUUUGUAAUGAGAAUACGGACUUGUGACUUUGUGAUUUUGAUUGUCUUUAUCUCAACUUUUCACCUGGCCUACAACCUUGCUCCUGAACUGUUCCUGGCAGACUUGAGAAUAUUUAAUCCCAUCCAAAGGCCAACAUUACAACCUGUGCAUCUCAUUAUGUCCCUCACGACCAUACUUUUUUCCCACACCACCCCUACAAGGUCAUCCACUCUACCACAACUAAAUGACACCCACUCAAACACCUCAAUUUAUCUAAUAUCAAUAACUUAACGAGUCAUGCAGAUAAAACACUUUCAUUCUAAUUAUUUUCUCAAGUAUGUUCAAGACCUUCAUGAAAAUUAUUAGUCUUUCUGCAUUUGGAUCUUCUGCUACCCCCAUACUGAUUAAACUUUUGCCCUGACUCCUUCGUCUUUCCUUCUCUGAUGCUUCUCUACACUAAAGAAGACCCUCUAAAAGCCUGGACACAUUUCCCAUAACAAGAAAUGCUGGAAACUGUCUUAUUCAUGGACUGUAUUUUAUGAUGAUACAACCAUCCAAUGUUGUCAUCAGGGUAAUACAGUUCUGCUCCUUAUAAUGACCCAAAGUGAAUAUCAGAUAACUAGCCUCACCAAACUACCUUAGCAAAGUGAAAAUCAAUACUUCAUUUGCACCGUCAUGAGACAGGAUGAGAGCCGGCUUCAUGGGUCGUUAACAGUCCCCUCCCUCCUAAAAAAGUGCCAGAAAAGGGAAAUUCUUGGAGCCCUGCAAUACAUGAAUUCAAUAACCCUAACUUACUUCACACUUAUGCUUUUACAUGUAUAUAGUUUACUUUCAUCGACAGACUAGGAUAUAAAUUCACUUCCAUUUGCAUGUGCUUUCAAUUUUCCCAUACUAUGAACCUACAACAGGUAAUGUGUAAGCAUUCUUCCUAGCCCUACAGAGUUCCCAGGUCAGAGAAAGCAUAAGCAAGGGACUUGAAAAAUGUGCUGAAGUGGGAGGAAGCUCAGUUUGCUUAUGUAGGUGCUAACUGCUGACACACACACACACACACAUACACCACAUAGCAGUACACACUUCCAUCAUCUACCCCAACUCAUAUCCCUCAUAUUGGUGCCUAUUUGGGCCUUUAAUAAAUACCUUUCUAUCACUUAUGCAUCUUUCAUCUCUUAGAAUUAUCAUGUUUACUUAUUCUUGCUUCUAUCAACAGUUUUCUCUUUUUAUUUUCUUAUAUUCAAUUUUAUCUUUCAAUGCAAAGCUUAUUCCUUUAUCCUUGCAUUCCAGCAGCAAGUUUUAUAUUUUUUAAAGUUACACCACGAUUCAUUCCCUUAUUCUUGCCUCUUUAACAGUAGCUAAUAGCAGUAGGUACUUUUAAUCUAUUGAAUAUAUGCUCUUUACAUCUGAACAAAUCAUAUUCAUCCAUUCUCACCUCUAUUGGCAAUUUUCCUUUAUCCUUUCUAUAAUAAUUUCUAUUUUUCAAUGCCAUAUUUUCUGAUUCUCACCUUUAACAUCAACUUUACUUACAAUUGUUCAGUUAUUCUUAACUAUUAAAAACUCCUUUCAUUCUAUAUCUCAGUACAUUAUUCCUUUACUUAUUCUUGGAUACCACAAGUUCCAAUCGCAUUUUUUCCUCACUCAUCAGCAGACGCAUUAACCACCCUGAUCAUGUUACCCUGUGCUCUGUGCAUGUCUGAUGAAUGAACCUCCUGCCCUUUACCAGCUCUGCAAGGAGGGUUCAUUUAAGUUUCUCUCUCUGGGAUGGAAUGUUCCUGAAAGACCUGUAGUGUUACCACACACACACACACACACACACACACACACA